rnacentral:miRNA from 1 species
UAAUACUGUUAUUUAAGAUUUC